GCCCGGCUUGCUCAGUCGGUAGAGUAUGAGACUUUUAAUGUCAGGGUCGUGGGUUCGAGCCCCACGUUGGGUG
rfam:Danio rerio unplaced genomic contig NA24, GRCz11 reference primary assembly.